GUUUCUGGUCAAAGAUUUAGUAUAAACGUGCCACAUAGGUUCAAUAUACACAAUUAUAAAAGGCCAACUUUCUGUGAUCACUGUGGAUCUUUGUUGUAUGGUUUAAUUAGGCAAGGAUUACAAUGUGAAGGUAUGGUACAUUAUACAUUGUUAUAGAAACACUUUAUAUUGCUAGAAUUAGCAACAUUAUUGGUAAGUUAAAUUUUUCCCAAAAUGAGAUAGGCAUAUGUAUUUUCUAUUGUUUAUAGCGUCUCUGUGUCAUGAAUUGAUCCUGGGAUUUAGAAUUGGCAAACCCAGUGAAACAUAUGGGCAGUGAUAUUGUUUGCCUUAAAUAAGUGGAGAAUAAAGGCUUUUUCCCCUGGAGAAGAAUCCCAAUUUGAAAAAUAAAUGGCUUAAAAUUAUUCCCAAAAAGACAACUUUUUUCCCAAACAGUGUAGUCUCAGUAGUAAUUGUGCAUGAAUACAAACUGAAAAACACUCAUCUAAACAAUUUUCAUGCCUAAAAUGACUAUAUGUGCACAUUUGAGGGUCUAUUAUGUACAUGUAUCAUCACUAACAAAAUGGGGUCUUAUUUUAAAGCAGGGUUUGACUCUUGAAAAUGGGUCUGUAAAUUGAAGUUUCAGUCAAAUUCAUGGUUUAUUUUAAAUUUCCCAAUUAAAUGAAAAUGACGCAUAUUUUCCCAAUAAAAAAGGGUAGAGGUAGUUUUGAAAAAAGCCAACAAUAUCACUGAUGGGCAGGGAGAGGAUACGGUUUUAAAGAUCACAUUACAGUCAAUAAUGUAAAAAUAAGGUACCAACGAUUCUGGUCUCCAGGAGCACUCAACAUCAAAUCCUAGAUUUCUCAAGUUUUCUAUUUCAUUGUAAAGGUUAUAUGUCCUACAUGUGUGGGUUAAAUGGCCACACCACAAUUUAAAUGCAUUCAUGAAUAAUUCCUUUCUUUGUCAGGUAAACAGGCAAAAUUACAUUAUUAUUAUAGGUCUGAACUUCUGCCAAUGACUUGAGACAUUUUUAUGUUUGAUUUUUUUUUAAUUUGACCUGGUUUUAGGUGAUGUGUUCCAAUACCUUGUAUGUGAGUAAGGUUAUGAUGAAAUUAACAUGUGCUUUUAAGGUGUUAUUUCUUUGUUGAGAAAUAAGGUAAUGGGUACAGUAAACUGUAGGAUGGUAAAGGCAAGUAAACUUAAUGAGGCAGGUGUGAGAUUCCUUUAAUAAUAUUGUCUGUUUUAAUUAUUGAUUUUGAUAUAUUAAGUGUGAAUGUGUGGGAAAUUGUCUUUUGUAAGGCAGAAAGAACAAGAAACCAAGCUGUAUAAUAUAGUCAACACACUGCAACAUCUCAAAUAAAAUUGAGAAUGGAAAUGAGGAAUGUGUCAAAGAGACAACAACCCGACCAAAUAAAAAACAACAGCAGAGGGUCACCAACAGGUCUUCAAUGCAGCGAGAAACUCCCGUACCCGGAGGCGUCCCUCAGCUGGCUCCCAAACAAAUAUAUACUAGUCCAGUGAUAAUGAACGCCAUACUAAUUUCCAAAUUGUACACAAGAAACUAAAAUUAAAAUAAUACAAGACUAACAAAGGCCAGAGGCUCCUGACUUGGGACAGGCGCAAAAAUGCGGCGGGGUUAAACAUGUUUGUGAGAUCUCAACCCUCCCCCUAUACCUCUAACCAAUGUAGAAAAGUAACGCAUAACAAUACGCACAUUAAAAAUUCAGUUCAAGAGAAGUCCGAGUCUGAUGUCAGAAGAUGUAACCAAAGAAAAUAAACAAAAUGACAAUAAUACAUAAAUAACAACAGGCUACUAGCAGUUAACUGACAUGCCAGCUCCAGACUUCAAUUAAACUGACUGAAAGAUUAUGAUUUCAUCAUAUGAACAUCAGGCACAAUCCUUCCCGUUAGGGGUUUAGUAUCAUACCAUCAUAACAUAUAUGAGAAGAACAUAACCCGUGUCAUGCCAACAACUGUUUUUGUCGAGCCUGCAACUUUUGUUGCAGAAAGCUCGACAUAGGGAUAGUGAUCCGGCGGAGGCGGCUACGGCGGUGGCGUUAGCUCACUUCUUAAAAGCUUUAUAUUUUAGAAGGUGGAAGACCUGGAUGCUUCAUACUUUGUAUAUAGAUGCUUCAUGUUACGAAGUUUCCGUCAGUCACAUGUCCAAUGUCCUUGACCUCAUUUUCAUCGUUCAGUGACCACUUGAAAAAAAAGUUCAAAUUUUUUGUAAUGUUGAAUUCUCUCUUAUUAUAAGUAACAGGAUAACUAUAUUUCAUAUGUGCGUACCUUGCAAGGUCCUCGUGUCUGUCAGACAGUUUUCACUUGACCUCGACCUCAUUUCAUGGAUCAGUGAACAAGGUUAAGUUUUGGUGGUCAAGUUCAUAUCUCAGAUACUAUAAGCAAUAUGUCUAGUAUAUUCGGUGUAUGGAAGGACUGUAAGGUGUACAUGUCCAACUGGCAGGUGUCAUCUGACCUUGACCUCAUUUUCAUGGUUCAGUGGUUAUAGUUAAGUUUUUGUGUUUUGUCUGUUGUUUUCUCAUACUUUAUGCAAUAGGUCUACUAUAUUUGUUGUAUGGAAUGAUUGAAAGAUGUACAUGUCUAGCGGGCAGAUGUCAUCUGACCUUGACCUCAUUUUCAUGGUUCAGUUGUUAUAGUUAAGUUUUUGUGUUUUGGUCUGUUUUUCUCAUACUUUAUGCAAUAGGUUUACUAUAUUUGUUGUAUGGAAUGAUUGUAAGGUGUACAUGUCUAGCGGGCAGAUGUCAUCUGACCUUGACCUCAUUUUCAUGGUUCAAUGGUCAAAGUUAAGUUUUUGAGUUUUGAUCUUUUUGUCUAAUACUAUAUGUCAUAGGUCAACUAUAUUUUCUGUAUGGAAAUAUUUUAUGAUCUCUAUGUCAGUCGUGCAGGUUUUAUUUGACCUUGCCCUGGUUUUCAAGGUUCAUUGCUCAGUGUUAAGUUUUUGUGUUUUGGUCUAUUUUCUUAAACUAUAAGCAAUAGGUCAACUAUAUUUGUUGUAUGGAAGCAUUGUUAGCUGUACAUGUCUGCCUGGCAUAUGGUUCAACUGACCUUGACCUCAUUUUCAUGAUUCAUGUUAAGUCUAUGUGACAGUCGUAAUAAAGCUUUAGAUUUAGGAGUAUCAACAUAAUAUCAAUGAUUAGUAAAGAAGGCGAGACAUUUCUGUGUGUGCACUCUUGUUAGAAUAAAUGUGUUUAGUUCCGAUGCAAAGACCUUAUCAGUGACUCAAUAUUAAUGUCAAAAUAUACAAUCUUUAAAGACUUGACAACAGUAUCGUAAUUAUAUCCCUUCUUAAUAAGUCUAUUCAAAGGUUUUGUAAGUUUCUGAGGGGAAUACUGACACCUUUGUGCUUUAUAAAGAAUAUUUCCAUAAAAAGUUGGAUGUGAAAUACCUGAACGUAUUAGAAGUCUGCAUGUUGAGCUAUAUUUACGAAUGAUGUCUUUAUACCGAUGAUAAAAUUUAGUAAAUGUUUUGACUAGUUUGUGAUAUCGAAAACCCUGGUGUAAUAAUUUUUCAGUAAUACAUAAAUUUCUCUCGUUAAAAUCUAAAACAUUGUUACAUACACAAGCGAAUCGUACAAGUUGAGAUAUAUAAACACCGUAAGAUGGUGACAAGGGAACGUCACCAUCUAAAAACGGAUAAUUAGCGAUAGGAAAUGAAAAAAAAAUCAAAGACUUAUUUACGGUUUGUCAAAAAAACUUUAUAGAUAUGUAGGCCAUACACAACAAAUUAUUAACCUCUUUGCAAAAUUUGUAAUAUGGCGAUUUUUUAAAUGUGAAUAGUUAACAUUUGGAUCAUCUAGCAUGUCUAGAGGCUGAGUGGCUAAUAAUAUUUUUCUUUGACGUUAACUUUUCUGUGUUUUAUAUUAUAUUAUAUAUGUUAUAUUUUAUACUGACAGUUACUACUAUUUACAUAAUUAUAUUGGGGAUUCAUUAUUAUUUGUGGAUACUAAUUUAUGUGAAUUAUGUGUAUACAUGUCAACCACACAUGUCAAUGAAGUACACAUUUGCAAAAACCACAAAAAUAAAAAACAUAUGAAAAUAAUAAUGUUCUUCAGAUUGGGAAAUUGGUACAUAAUGUACCCUUCUUAAGAGACAGGGGCAUUAAGUGUAACCCUUAACUGCCCCUCUUUAUAUCUAUCCCAUUUUCAAAGCUUUAGCAGACACAUUCAUAUGCUCAGACAUAUUCUUCUUUUAUUUAGUUGCUAAUAUCAAUCAAAAAUUUGAAAUAAUUUUAAUGCUUUUAAAAUACCAAACAAAAAUCUGAUUCUGCACAUGGCCAGGGAUCUCCAUGGAUGAAAAUUGAACGAUGGACGAACUUUCACCAUUACAAGCUGUAUCUACACUGUAGAUGAUGGCAUCACAUUUUUCUUAAAGAUUCUCUUUUUACCCAUCUGAAAGGUUGAGGCCACUGUAAGUCUUGGCUAGUUUGUGAAAAUUAUGAACUCUUCAGAAUGCUAUAAAUGGUUAUUAUACGACCGCAAAAUUUGAAAAAUUUUUCGUCGUAUAUUGCUAUCACGUUGGCGUCGGCGUCGGCGUCGGCGUCGUCGUCCGGCGUCCGAAUACUUUUAGUUUUCGCACUCUAACUUUAGUAAAAGUGAAUGGAAAUCUAUGAAAUUUUAACACAAGGUUUAUGACCACAAAAGGAAGAUUGGUAUUGAUUUUGGGAGUUUUGGUCCCAACAUUUUAGGAAUUAGGGGCCAAAAAGGGCCCAAAUAAGCAUUUUCUUGGUUUUCGCACUAUAACUUUAGUUUAAGUUAAUAGAAAUCUAUGAAAUUUUUGACAAAGGUUUAUGACCACAAAAGAACGGUUGGGAUUGAUUUUGGGAGUUUAGGUUUCAACAGUUUAGGAAUUAGGGGCCAAAAAAGGGCCCAAAUAAGCAUUAUUCUUGGUUUUCGCACAAUAACUUUAGUUUAAUUAAAUAGAAAUCAAUGAAAUUUAAACACAAUGUUAAUGACUACAAAAGGAAGGUUGGUAUUGAUUUUGGGAGUUUAGGUCCCAACAGUUUAGGAAUUAGGGCCAAAAAGGGACCCAAAUAAGCAUUUUUCUUGGUUUUCGCACCAUAACGUUAGUAUAAGUAAAUAGAAAUCUAUGAAAUUUAAACACAAGGUUUAUGACCAUAAAAGGAAGGUUGGUAUUGAUUUUGGGAGUUUUGGUCCCAACAGAAUAAGGGGCCCAAAGGGUCCAAAAUUAAAACUUUGUUUGAUUUCAUCAAAAUUGAAUUAUUGGGGUUCUUUGAUAUGCCGAAUCUAACUGUCAUGAUGUGUAUGUAGAUUCUUAACUUUUGUCCCGUUUUCAAAUUGGUCUACAUUAAGGUCCAAAGGGUCCAAAAUUAAACUUAGUUUGAUUUUGACAAAAAAUGAAUCAGUUUAGGUUUUUGAUAUGCUGAAUCUAAAAAUGUACUUAGAUUCUUGAUUAUUGGCCCAGUUUUUUCAAGUUUGGUCCAAAUCGGGGUCCAAAAUUAAACUUUGUUUGAUUUCAUCAAAAAUUGAAUAAAUGGGGUUCUUUGAUAUACCAAAUCUAACUGUGUAUGUAGAUUCUUCAUUUUUGGUCCUGUUUUCAAAUUGGUCUACACUAAAGUCCAAAGGGUCCAAAAUUAAACUUAGUCUGAUUUCAACAAAAAUUGAAAUCUUGGGGUUCUUUGAUAUGCUGAAUCCAAAAAUGUAAUUAGAUUUUUUAUUAUGGGCCCAGUUUUCAAGUUGUCCAAAUCAGGAUCUAAAAUUAUUAUAUUAAGUAUUGUGCAAUAGCAAGUCUUUUCAAUUGCACAGUAUUGUGAAAUAGCAAAUUUUUUUUAAUUAGAGUUAUCUUUCUUUGUCCAGAAUAGUAAGCAAGAAAUAUCUAAUUGCAAAAUAUUGUGCAAUAGCAAGAUUUUUUUUAAUUUGAGUUAUCUUUCUUUGUCCAGAAUCAACUUAAAUCUUUGUUAUAUACAAUAUACAAUGUAUAUUCACUUUUUACUACCAACUGAUAAAUUAUAAUAAAUAACAUUCAGUGAUAACAAGCAGUUUUUUUUACAUCUUAAUAUUUUAUGAUGUAUUUAAAUGAGUAGUUAUUGUUGCAAACUCCAUUAGAAAUUUUAAUUGAGAUUAGUUUUGGAAUAAGGGAAAGGGGGAUGUGAUUAAAAAAAUUGGGUUCAAUUUUUCUCAUUUGAAAUUUCAUAAAUAAAAAAGAAAAUUUCUUCAAACAUUUUUAUGCCCCACCUACGAUAGUAGAGGGGCAUUAUGUUUUCUGGUCUGUGCGUCCGCCCGUCCGUCUGUCCGUUCGUUCGUCGUCGUCCGUUUCGUCCGUCCGUCUGUCCCGCUUCAGGUUAAAGUUUUUGGUCAAGGUAGUUUUUGAUGAAGUUUAAGUCCAAUCGACUUCAAACUUAGUACACAUGUCCCCUACGAUAUGAUCUUUCUAAUUUUAAUGCCAAAUUAGAGUUUUUACCCCAAUUUCACGGUCCACUGAACAUGGAAAAUGAUAGUGCGAGUGGGGCAUUCGUGUACUGAGGACACAUUCUUGUUUUGAGAGGAUUAGUAUUCAACAGCAUAGUGAAUUGCUCUAAGAGAAAACAAAAAUUUUAAGUUCAUUAGAACACAUUCAUUCUGUGUCAGAAACCUAUGCUGUGUCAACUAUUUAAUCACAAUCCAAAUUUAGAGCUGAAUCCAGCUUGAAUGUUGUGUCCAUACUUGCCCCAACCGUUCAGGGUUCAACCUCUGCUGUCGUAUAAAGCUACACCCUGCGGAGCAUCUGGUUAAUAAAGGCAACAGUAGAUUACUCAAUUCAAAGUAAUAAAUAUCAAUCAUACACAGCUUCUUUGGUGCCGGGCUGCCAUACUUUUUGCGAUGAUUGUUUACAUUUAGGACAACACAAAAAUGCCUUUCAUUUUCACACAAAUCGUCAAUUGAGAAAACGUUACAAAGCACAACGUGACGUUGUAUAGACUAAUUCUGUAAAAAGCGUCAACAUCUAUAGUUUGCCUGGUUAGCGCUGUGCCUUAGAAAGCCAGAUCAAGCUAAAUUUUGGGAUCAUUUCAACGAAGUUCUCAAGUAUGUUCUCUGAAAAGCUCCAAUUUAAUUACUUACGUUUUCGAGAGAAAGAUAUCAUUUUACAUUAUAAACGUACAGAGCUAAUGUAUUUACCUACAGAACAAUAGGAGCAUCAGACAGGACAAUCUCUGAAACUUUUCCAUCACAAUGAGUCUUCUGCUUAAAAUAUCUGUUGUUUAUAGAUGGCGCCCCAGCUUAAUAAAAUAAAGUCUGUUCCGAUAAAAUAUACGCAAAGUGUAAUGUUGUCUAAAAAUUGCUGUUUUGUUUGACAGGACGCAAAUUUUAUUUAUUGUACAUUGAUCAAUAAAUAUAAUACCAUGUAAAAAUUCUUUAAAUAAUCAUUUAUUUUUGCAUCUUAUUUAUUUCUAACUCAACCCAGUAAUUCUAUUUGCAAUUGCGAUAACAAGUGGCAAUACAAUACUAAAUAUUGUAUGACAGCAGAUUGUAGAAUUAAGACGUUACUUUAGCGGACAGAAUGCCUACAGUAGUAUACCAGUGUUCAAAAGUCAUAAAUCGAUUGAUAGAAAACAAACCGUGGUUACAAACUAAAACCGAGGGUAACACAUCAACUAUAAGAAGAAAACAAAGAAACAAUCAUUACUAUUAAUCUCAUACUUUGUCCUCCUUUUAAGAAAGCAACAUCUUUACAAAGUUGAUUCAGUGUAAAUACCAAUAAACAAUGCAUAAAACUUUUAUUAUAUACAUGUACAUACAUGUACUUUACUAAAUCAUUUCCUAUUUCCUGGUUUACAGUAAAACAGCUGGAACAAUAUGACUUCAGUUGUAAGGUUAAAAAACAAAUAAGGGAAAAUUAUGUAAGAUGAAUAUAAAGAAACUAAUUUUUACGAUGAAGGAAGAAUUAAGGAUAAAUCUCCUUACAAGUUACUUCCUUAAUUAUUUCCUAUUUUAAGAAGAAAAUGAUUAUAUUCUAAUUGUUUGCUUGUCUGAUCCUGAUAUUACAUAAUUCAGAUAUUUCCCUGCUUUAUAGUGAAGCAAUGAUAUAUAGUUAUUGUUAUAAUCCACUUCAAGGUUUAGCUGUGUUUCAGUCCCUCCAUAAAAAGAUGUUGCAACUACAAACCAGAUACUGUGGAUUCAUUAUUAUUCGUCGGAUACCAAUUUUCGUGGAUUUAGUGGGUACCGGAAAACCACGAAUUUAAAUAUUCAACGAAUUGCAAAUUUUCUAAAGGAAUAUAUGUAUACUUUGUCAAAACCACGAAAUUAAACAUCCACGAAUAAGCAAGUUUUUCCUCAAACCACGAAAAUUGGUACCCACGAAAAUAAAUGAAUCCACAGUAGCUAGAGCAGUCCCUCCGUCCUAUAAACCAGAUAGCUAGAGCAGUCCCUCCGUCCUUUAAAAAGAUGUAACAUAUUUCUCAGAAACUAUAAACCAGCUGAUCGAUUGUUUUUAGCUUUAUGUAAACAUCAUUAAGGUCAAGGUUCAAUCUUUUCUAUAGAUUUGCAUUACAAUACUAUAAAGGGGGUCAUGGAUGGUUGAUCAGUUAAAAAAUCCUAUUAAACUCCGUAAUUUUGUUGUAGAAACUAGAAACUAUUGUCAUUUACAAGAUAAUGGUAACCAGUUUUUCCCAUGUGACCUUCAGCUCACUUAGAAAAGCCUUUAUAAUAUACUGGUAACCAGAUUGUCCCAUAUGACCUUCAGGUCAAUUAGAAAAGCCUUUAUUAUAUCGGAUACAUAUCAGGACUAUAAAUUAUUGCUUAUUCAUCCAUUGUAUACCAGACAUAUUGUUUUACUCUUUGGUAUUUUGUUAAUUAGAUAUUUGAUAUAGUAAUUGUUAAUAGAUUUGAAAUACGAUGGUGUGUGGGAAGCCUUGCAGGUGCUUGUGAUAAUAUUGAACUAUGUCACAUAGUAAUGUCACCUUCAAAAAAUUAGAAUAACCAUUGGUGAACCAUUGACAUUCACAAUUCAUUUAUUGAACAAUAGAGAAAGCUAAGGUCAUGUAAUGAAUACUAUGUCAUUUUGAUAUGACUUGCAGACUAUUGAAUUAAACUAGAAAUUAAAUAUUGAGGUUAAUUAUUGAAUUUUAUAACCUAAUUUAAAAAAGAUGUACUUAAACUUAUCUAGCACAUUCUUAUAGAUAUUUUGAUUAAUUUAGAAUGUCCUCAGCAUUAAGUCAGCUUAUCUACAUUAGAAAUAUAAAAAUAAGUGUGGUAUGAUUGCCAAUGAGACCACUCUCCACAAGAAACCAACUGAUGUAGAAGUUAACAUCUUGGAAAGCUCAGUCAAGUUAUGUACUGAAUGCUGUAUCUUUAUAAGUUUUAUAUAACUUGCAGCACAAUUAAAUAAAACUGGAACUGACCUUGGAAAGUUUAUGACUAAGUUGAAACAAAAAAAAAAUGGAUGAACUUACAGUUACACUUAACUGGCAUGUUUCAUUUAUGCUGAUAGAAAUUUGUUCAAAAGUUUUUAGAAAAUCCCUCAAUCUAAGACUUUUUGACGUUUUGUGAAUAUCCCUUUUUAGCUGACUAAUGUAUCUUAUUAGGUUUUGAGAAUGUCCAUUUUUAGCUGACCUACAUAUCCUGUUAGGAUGUGACAUUGUCCACCAUUAGCUGACCAUCAUAUCCUUUUCUGUUUUGAGACUAUCCCAUAGCACUGAUCAUCAAGCUGACCUUAUAUGUUUUGAGAAUGCCCCUAGCACUAUAUAUAGCAGACCUAUAUAUCAGUUAUUGUUUUGAGAUGUCCCCUAGUAUUGUGACAGAUGUCGGUGACUGUGACAAAUCAAUGAAAUAUAGGUUAAAUCAAUCUUAAUGGAUAGCAUAAUCUGAUUUGAAAGAUGUGGUUAUUAUUCAUAGCUCAAUGCAACUAGGAUGAAUAAUUUGAUUUUAAUUUUGAUUAAAGUUUAAUUCGUUUUAGUCUGCUAAAAAUUUAGUUUUUGUAUUUUAGCAUUUUUUUAAAUUUAAUUCAUUUUUAUAUUGCAGAUUGUGUUAAAGUACAUGUUCUUAAUUCAUUGAUACGUUUUUUUACUUUAAAAUUUGAUGAAUCGUAGGCACUUGUGGUUUCAAAAUUUACUUAAUAGAAAACCAAUGCUGAAGUGAUGUAUUUUAAAUUGAGGUAAUGUGUCAUUCAGUCGUCAUGUUAUUUUGCAGUGUAGCACAAAGUGCAAACCCAGCUUCUAGCUUGUCAAUGUUGGGAGAGUUUCAGAUGUCAUGCUGGGGAAACUGAGAACCUAUUUGGUCAAAUACAUGUUUCUUUAGCUUUCUUCUUAGAUCCCUGUAACUGCACAGACAGAAUGCUCCUAUGUUAACGUUGUGCAUCUGAUAUCUUUGAAUUUUGGCUGAUUUUACUCUUGAAAUUUAGCAAAAGUACAAAAGUCUGGAGCAAUUUGUGUUACCGUCUCCAACUACAGCUGUCUGUCUGUAUCUCUUUAAUUUCAUAACCAAAGAUUCUUCACAUACUAAAGUUUUGCACCUGCUACCAUGACUUGGUUGAAGGAAUUUUGAUACUGUAUCCAUAUAUCCAGACUUGAAAUAUUUAGCAAAAGACUGGACCUAUGUCAUGUAUGUUGUUAAAUCAACUCAUCUCACUGUUUUCAACCCAGAUCCCUGAUCAUUGACAGAAAGACUGCACACAUAUUGCUGUUUUGCUCUUGCAAAUAUGGAACUCUAAGAGAAUAUUUUACACAUUAUGUGAUAGCAUUAGCUCUUUGAUGCUUUAUACCUUGUAUUGUUUAUAUACAGAUGCCUUAUGUUUUGAAAAUUGGGUCAUUUAUAUCUCCAUUGUCCCUGACCCUAAUGGUUCUGCUACUGCUUAAAACAAAUACUGAUUAUGAUGAACUGUAAUUAGUUGGUUCUUCAUCUUUGCAAAAUUUAAUUUUUUGUGUUCUUAUUUUUCAGUAUGUAAAGUUAAUUGUCACAAGCGAUGUAAAAAGAAUAUAGCUAACACAUGUGGUAUUAAUACACGAGAAAUGUCUGUACGUUUAAAGGACCUCGGCAUUAUAAGUGACAUUAAUUCUCGGAAAAAGGUUAGUGUUAUUUUAUUACUCAUGGAUAUUGGUUUCUUUUUUCAGUAUGUAAAAUUAAUGUUCACAAACGAUGUCAAAAGAAUGUAGCAAACAAUUGUGGUAUAAAUACACGAGAAAUGGCAGAGAUAUUGUCCGAGCUAGGCAUUACUACUGAUAAACAUGGCACUAAGAA
rnacentral:lncRNA from 1 species